rnacentral:rRNA from 1 species
GACGAACGCUGGCGGCGUGCUUAACACAUGCAAGUCGAACGGAAAGGCCCUGCUUUUGUGGGGUGCUCGAGUGGCGAACGGGUGAGUAACACGUGAGUAACCUGCCCUUGACUUUGGGAUAACUUCAGGAAACUGGGGCUAAUACCGGAUAGGAGCUCCUGCUGCAUGGUGGGGAUUGGAAAGUUUCGGCGGUUGGGGCUGGACUCGCGGCUUAUCAGCUUGUUUGUGGGGUAGUUGCUUACCAAGGGUUUGACGGGUAGCCGGCCUGAGAGGGUGACCGGCCACAUUGGGACUGAGAUACGGCCCAGACUCCUACGGGAGGCAGCAGUGGGGAAUAUUGCACAAUGGGCGGAAGCCUGAUGCAGCAACGCCGCGUGCGGGAUGACGGCCUUCGGGUUGUAAACCGCUUUCGCCUGUGACGAAGCGUGAGUGACGGUAAUGGGUAAAGAAGCACCGGCUAACUACGUG